rnacentral:lncRNA from 1 species
AGAUAUGAUUAUGGAACUUGCUGUACAUGCUCAGUUUAUUACAACUACUUUUAGGCCUGAACUGCUUGAGUCAGCUGACAAAUUCUAUGGUGUAAAGUUCAGAAAUAAGGUUAGUCAUAUUGAUGUGAUCACAGCAGAGAUGGCCAAAGACUUUGUAGAAGAUGAUACCACACAUGGUUAAUUGGAAAAUACUACCUACUGGUUUGGGAGAUGUAUAUAGUAAUAUGAUUCUCAUACCCAGGAACUGUAAAUUUAAACCUAAAUAUUUGGCCAAUAGUUUUCAGACUUAAAGCAUCAUAGUCCUUUUAUAUUUGUCUUUGUAUUUUAUAAGAUACUCUGUAAUGUCAUGUUUGUACUUACAGUUUAAGAAUUUAAUUUCCUGUACAACUUUUUGUAAAAUGUUCUGCUCCUAUUUUAAAUGUUUUGAAACAUGCUAAAUAUUCUUUCCUAAUUAUUUUA